UUACAUCGUUCACAGCCUUCUGUGGACGCUGAACAAAGAGACACUCGUCUCGUCGGGCACUUCAUCGACCAUCGUUCAUUCUUUCUUCCGCCAUUUUGUAAGAAGAAUAGUCGGUUUCUUUCGCGUCCUUAUAGCUUCGAAAUGGGUGCUACCGAUGAUGGAAAGCACGAGCCUGAGCAACUCAGAAAGUUGUUCAUUGGUGGACUGGACUACAGGACCACUGACGACUCACUCAAGGCAUUCUUUGAGCAAUGGGGCGAGAUUGUGGACGUCGUCGUUAUGAAGGAUCCUCACACCAAGAGGUCGCGAGGAUUCGGCUUCAUCACCUACGCCAAGUCGCAGAUGGUGGAUGAUGCUAUGAAGAACAGGCCACAUAAGGUUGAUGGAAGAGAAGUUGAGUCUAAGAGAGCUGUGCCUCGUGAUGAGAUUGGAAGGCCAGAAGCCGGAUUAACGGUGAAGAAAAUGUUUGUUGGUGGCUUGAAAGAGCAAGAAGAGUCUGACCUGAGGGACUACUUCAGUCAAUUUGGCAACAUUGUGAAUGUGAAUAUUGUGGUGAACAAGGAGACGAAUACUAAGCGCGGUUUUGCAUUCAUCGAGUUUGACGAUCACGACGCUGUCGACAAGGCUGUUUUGAAGAAACAUCACAACGUGGGCGGCAAGUCGGUGGAUGUGAAGAAGGCGGUGAGCAAGAGUGACAUGGGUCCAGGAGGCGGUCGAGGAGGUGGCCGUGGGGGCGGCGGCGGAGGCGGCCGCAACUGGGACAGAGGCGGCGGCGGUGACUCGUGGGUUGGACGCAGUGGAGGCGGUAAUGGCUACGGAGGCAGUCCUUGGGACACCCAGGCCACCGGAGGCGGCGGAUGGGGCGGCAACUCUGGUGGUGGCUACGGAGGCGGCGGUGGUGGAUAUGGAGGCGGUGGCUACGGAGGUGGCGGUGGUGGAUAUGGAGGAGGUGGUAACGACUAUCAGCAAGGGUACGGAGGCGGCGGCGGUGGCCCAAUGAGGAGUAGCUAUGGUGGAAACUCACGAAGCACACCCUACGGUGGUAGUGGUGGAGGAGGUGGUUACGGAGGCGGCUCUGGAGGUGGUGGUGGCUACGCAAGGCGCUAUUAGGUCUGUUACUAGUUAUCAACGUGGAUGAACUUGACUAAAAAAGUUGAAACUGAAAUAUACGAUUGGCGAAGGAUGAAAUGGUAUUCUCCUUGGACGCCUCAAAAUGAGAUGAGAUGACGACCAAUCGGUGAUCUUCGGGUGAUGGAAUUGAUUGAUCUCAUGCUACCUGAGAAAAGAAUACAUCGUUGGAGGGUCUCAGAGGAAAUGCACAAGAAGUCGAACAACACCUGCUUCAAAAAACCAUGUAAAAUAUAUUUUUAUCUAAUAACAUAACUGAAAAAUGAAAACUCGAGAAAUAUUCUGAAGUAUUUCAAUAUUUUUUGUAAGUUUUGUUAAAGUGCCUACUUUGUUGUAUUAAAUAUGUUCUAUUUAC
rnacentral:misc_RNA from 1 species